rnacentral:rRNA from 1 species
UUUGAGAGUUUGAUCCUGGCUCAGGAUGAACGCUGGCGGCGUGCCUAACACAUGCAAGUUGAGCGAUUUACUUCGGUAAAGAGCGGCGGACGGGGGAGGAACGCGUGGGUAACCUACCCUGUACACACGGAUAACAUACCGAAAGGGAUGCUAAUACGGGAUAAUAUAUUUGAGAGGCAUCUCUUAAAUAUCAAAGGUGAGCCAGUACAGGAUGGACCCGCGUCUGAUUAGCUAGUUGG